AUGCAUUCCGCACGAGCGAAACUGUACGUACUUAGUAACAUGCAUCUCACCCAUUCAGGAGGGUACGGGACGCUGGAGGAGCUGCUGGAGGUGAUCACGUGGGCGCAGCUAGGAAUCCAUCACAAGCCGGUUGGUCUGCUGAACGUGGAGGGGUACUACGACUCGCUGCUCACCUUCAUCGACCAGGCCGUGGAGGAAGGCUUCAUCAACCCCGCCGCCCGCCGCAUCAUCGUCUCCGCCCCCACCGCCCACAAGCUCAUGGAGAAGCUCGAGAAGUACGUGCCUUACUACGACAUGGUCGCGACCGGGCUGGACUGGGAGACGGAUCGCCUAGAGUUCUGA
rnacentral:rRNA from 1 species